GGAGUUGCUCUUUGAGAUUGUGAAUUUGAAGAUGAUUAUUUAUGACUCGGAGUCGCCAGCAUGCUCUAGUUUGGAAGAGUAUCUGAAAGGAUUCCUAGAGGCUGAUGUUAAACCACUUUGGCCUAAAGGAUGGAUGCAAUCUAGGAUUCUGCUUAUAGAAACCCGAAAAGCACAUGGCCAUAUCACCGGUGUUGUGUAAGAAUGCUUUAACACUACCACACACUUCCUAGAUAUUUAACCAAUCCCUCUGAAAAAAAAUGUAAUUGUUCAUGAUUAACAAGUAUAAUUAUAUUCUUUCAUAUGUUAUGAAACAAGUGGAACCCUCCUAGGUAAAUACUUUAAACUUAACCAAAGUGUAAAUAAAUUUCCCUUUUUAUUCAUUUAACAGGGCAAGGAAGAAGCCAAUGGGUACAACUAAACUAAAAAAGGUAUGUCAAAAACAAAAAUCCCAGUCUUCGAGUACUGUUCUGCAUGUUGCAUUCUUUAGAAAAAAUAUAGUUGGAAGUCUGUUUCCAAACCUUGCUCUUUCCACUGUGUAAUGCCCAGUUCAGCACCACCCCUAAGGACAGUAACAAUAACCCAGAAACUCAGGGCCCUCCAGGACUGAAACGCAAGCGUCUGAGUGUACCUGCGAGCAUGCAACCUGAAGCCAUGCUGAGCACCACUGCCAAAACGCCAUCAAACACACAAACCUCUGCCAUCUUCUUCACCCACCCAUCUAAUCAGAGCCACAAAGAAGGUAACAGGAUUGAGCACCACCAUUCAAGCACUCCGGUGAAUGCAGAGAGGGCAGGAUCAGUCCAGAUUAUGUGGAACAAGUCUACCAUGGAUUCAGAUUCAAAGCGGCUCCAGGUUGGAGAGAGGGCGGCUCACAAACUGAUGCUGGUGGCGCCACCGUCAGAUGCUGCUCAGGGUGACUGUCCAUCGGUGGUGCAGGGAGUGGCCAGGCUGCUCACAACCACCUCAGCGGGCGACACUCCUGUUUCCAUGGCAGCAGCAGCUGGUGAAAUCUCCCGUGGAAACCCAGCACUUCCCACCCCUUCUCUAUCACUCCUUCCAUCUUCCUACCCCACCACAGUACAGCCGGGUGUCUUACCGAGCUUUGCCCCCUUGCAUGCUCUCCCAUUCCCUGGGCUCAGCCAUGGCACCAAACUUCCUGGACAGCCUCAGGCCUGCAAAGGAGCUGUUUUUCCUGGCCCAACACCUGGGACUUUCCAACAUGGUCUGGCACACGGUGAGCAGAUAUUGAUCCUGAAAAUAACAGUGGAAACUUGGUAA
rnacentral:lncRNA from 1 species